GCCUAAUACAUGCAAGUCGAACGGUAACAGGUCCAGCAAUGGAUGCUGACGAGUGGCGCACGGGUGCGUAACACGUAUGCAAUCUACCCUUAACUGGGGGAUAGCCCCGAGAAAUCGGGAUUAAUACCCCAUAAUAUUACGAGGAGGAGUCUCCUUAUAAUUAAAGCUCCGGCGGUUUUGGAUGAGCAUGCGCGACAUUAGCUAGUUGGUGAGGUAACGGCUCACCAAGGCUUCGAUGUCUAGGGGUUCUGAGAGGAUUCACCCCCACACUGGUACUGAGACACGGACCAGACUCCUACGGGAGGCAGCAGUAAGGAAUAUUGGUCAAUGGACGCAAGUCUGAACCAGCCAUGCCGCGUGAAGGAAGACGGCCCUACGGGUUGUAAACUUCUUUUGUACAGGAAAAAACCACCGGUCGUGAAUCGGUGCUGAUGGUACUGUAAGAAUAAGGAUCGGCUAACUCCGUGCCAGCAGCCGCGGUAAUACGGAGGAUCCAAGCGUUAUCCGGAUUCAUUGGGUUUAAAGGGUGCGCAGGCGGAAUGAUAAGUCAGUGGUGAAAU
rnacentral:rRNA from 1 species